GACGAACGCUGGCGGCGUGCUUAACACAUGCAAGUCGAACGGAAAGACCCUGCUUUUGUGGGGUGCUCGAGUGGCGCAUGGGUGAGUAACACGUGAGUAAACUGCCCUUGACUUUGGGAUAACUUCAGGAAACAGGGGCUAAUACCCGGUAGGAGCUCCUGCUGCAUGGUGGGGGUUGGAAAGUUUCGGCGGUUGUGGCUGGACUCGCGGCUUAUCAGCUUGUUGGGGGGGUAGUGGAUGACCAAGGCUUUGACGGGUAGCCGGCCUGAGAGGGUGGCCGGCCUCAUUGGGACUGCGAUACGGCCCAGACUCCUACGGGAGGCAGCAGGGGGGAAUAUUGCACAAUGGGCGGAAGCCUGAUGCAGCAACGCCGCGUGCGUGAUGCCGGCCUUCGGGUUGUAAACCGCUUUCGCCUGUGACGAAGCGUGAGUGACGGUAACGGGUAAAGAAGCACCGGCUAACUACGUG
rnacentral:rRNA from 1 species